UACGAAGGGGGCUAGCGUUGCUCGGAAUCACUGGGCGUAAAGCGCACGUAGGCGGAUCCUUAAGUCGGGGGUGAAAUCCUGGAGCUCAACUCCAGAACUGCCUUUGAUACUGAGGAUCUUGAGUUCGGGAGAGGUGAGUGGAACUGCGAGUGUAGAGGUGAAAUUCGUAGAUAUUCGCAAGAACACCAGUGGCGAAGGCGGCUCACUGGCCCGAUACUGACGCUGAGGCACGAAAGCGUGGGGAG
rnacentral:rRNA from 1 species